UGGGGAAUAUUGCACAAUGGGGGAAACCCGUGAUGCAGCGACGCCGCGUGAAGGAAGAAGUAUCUCGGUAUGUAAACUUCUAUCAGCAGGGAAGAAAGUGACGGUACCUGACUAAGAAGCCCCGGCUAACUACGUGCC
rnacentral:rRNA from 1 species